rnacentral:rRNA from 1 species
ACUCCUACGGGAGGCAGCAGUGGGGGAAUAUUGCACAAUGGGGGAAACCCUGAUGCAGCCAUGCCGCGUGUGUGAAGAAGGCCUUCGGGUUGUAAAGCACUUUCAGUAGGGAGGAAGGUAGUNUAGUUAACACCUGCAUUAUUUGACGUUACCGACAUACAAGAAGACCACCGGGCUAACUCCGUGCCAGCAGCCGCGGUAAUACGGAGGGUGCGAGCGUUAAUCGGAAUUACUGGGCGUAAAGCGCAUGCAGGC